GGCAAAAAAGGCUUCCGGACACUGAGAAUGGUAGAGAGCCCCGUGGCCCACACAACCCCAUGGGGCCCGGAUGGUGAGGCUCCCACAGUUGAAAAGAUCACCAGAGCGAUAGCGGUACUUGGCAGCUUCAUUGACAAUCUGCAGAGAAAAGGGACAUGCCCCAGUGACUCUUUCCUGCCCAGUGCAUAUCCUAAAAGCAUGCUGUUGGAUCUUCCAUCGCAACUGUGAACACCACCAUGAGGCAACAGGCUCAUGGUUUGAAACCCAUCACCCCACCCCACCAACCUCAUGCCCAAACUCUCAGCCCUGUUGGGAAAGGAUAUGAAACCUUGAGGAGGUGGAGCCUUUCUGAAGGAAACGGGUUUCUGAUGACAAGCUGUGAGCCCAUCCCUCUUCCUCUUCCCUCUCUACUUGAAUUAAGAUGUAAUGUGACCAGCCAGCCUCCCGCUCCCUCCACCAUGCCUUCCUGCCUGCUACCAAGUCUUCCCUACUAUGAUGGACAGUACUACUGAAUUGUGAGCCAAAAUAAAGCCCUUCCCUCCUAAA